CAGCAGCCACGGUAAUACGAAGGGUGCAAGCGUUACUCGGAAUUACUGGGCGUAAAGCGUGCGUAGGUGGUGGUUUAAGUCCGUUGUGAAAGCCCUGGGCUCAACCUGGGAAUUGCAGUGGAUACUGGGUCACUAGAGUGUGGUAGAGGAUAGUGGAAUUUCCGGUGUAGCAGUGAAAUGCGUAGAGAUCGGAAGGAACAUCUGUGGCGAAGGCGACUAUCUGGGCCAACACUGACACUGAGGCACGAAAGCGUGGGGAGCAAACAGGAUUAGAGACCCCUGUAGUCCCUGUCUCUUAUAC
rnacentral:rRNA from 1 species